rnacentral:lncRNA from 1 species
UGAAGAUUGAUGAGCUGGAAGAACAAUGCAGUGAGAUCAACAGAGAGAAGGAGAAGAACACGCAGCUGAAGAGGAGGAUCGAGGAGCUGGAGGCAGAGCUCCGAGAAAAGGAGACAGAGCUGAAAGAUCUCCGAAAACAAAGUGAAAUCAUACCUCAGCUCAUGUCAGAGUGCGAAUAUGUCUCUGAGAAGCUAGAGGCGGCAGAGAGAGACAAUCAAAACCUGGAAGACAAAGUGCGUUCCUUAAAGACAGACAUUGAGGAGAGCAAAUACCGACAGCGCCACCUGAAGGUGGAGUUGAAGAGCUUCCUGGAGGUGCUGGACGGGAAGAUUGAUGACCUGCAUGACUUCCGCCGAGGGCUCUCCAAGCUGGGCACCGAUAACUAGGGCUGGCCGAGGCCCAGGCCCCGCCCGUGAGUCCCAAGCGUGUGUGCGAGACCAGAUAGCUCUAGGACGUUCUUCUGUGUGCAUUGCUUCUGUAAAUGCAGGCGCAGUUUGUCGUGUUUCCAAACCAGUUGUGCCGUCCACUCACUCCUUUUCAGAAUAGAAAUCUCCUCUCGCUUCUCUGGCCUUUUGUGAGGUUGUGGACAACUGGAAGAUUCUGACUCAGGAAUCCAGAACUAGGUCUACCUUCAACAUUUAUGCAGUCAGGGCAGGGAUGUUUAUAUCUUUCGUAAGGGCUGUUGCAACCAUAUGAACUGAAAAAAAACGCAUUUUGUAAUCCAAAUAUUGAUAUUCUUUACACCAAGCCAUCAGGCUCCUUUUAUCAAAUAGCAUUCAGAGUAUUUGAAUGUCCACCAGGCACCAGCCCCGGAGGGCACAGAGAGAACAACAUACCUCUCUGUCAACAUCGAGAGGCUUUAAAACAACUGUUUAGUGGAAACUUUCUGAGAGAUGGAAAACAAGCUUCUGGUGGGUGCAUUUUCUGGCCCGGAGUUGCCUGCAUCCACGCUACUGCCCCCCUGCCCCCCAGUUUGUAUGGUUGCAACAGUGUUCCUUUUCUUGGUUUUAAUUUCUGAGCAGAUGAUUGUGCUGUGGGAACAGCACACAGUGAGGGUGCCUAGCACAAUGUCUGGCACAAAGUAGGUGCUUAAUAAAUAUUUGUUCAAUUAAAUGUGUACACAGAAUUUAGUGUCUUAAUCAAACCCCACAGCAGAGCUGGGACCCUGUCGAAUGAUGCACCAUCUUUGCUGUGCUGGGUAGUUAUCAGACAUGAAUACCACUGUCUGGUCAAACCCAAGCUGGGGCUCAGGUGGCCCUGGGGCAGGCAGGGAGAAGGGGAAGCAGCAGGAGCUGUUCUCAGGCCCCUGGAGCCCAUCCGUGAUGCUCUGCCCCUGGGGCUCUCCAGACCCUUGAAUCACCUUCUCCCCUAGGAAUGGUGACCCAGGGAUUCCAGGUAUAGGGGCUGCCCAGGGCUUGGUACCUAGGGUAGGAUUGUCUUAUGGGUCUGGACAGCUGGGAAGAAAUCACAGGCAUUUCGGGGGGAGAGAGCAGCUCAGCCGACAAGCCUUGGCCCUCAUGACAGAGGUGUUCCACCCAGCUCUGCCUCCUGCCUUUUUCAGUUUCUCCUAGGGAAGGGACUGCAGCCAUAAACCUCUCCUCUCUCACAGAGCUGCUCAGUGGGGCCAGCGGGCCUGUGGGUGCUGUUGGCAUCCUGCCCUGGGAGAUUGCCCGUGUGUGGCAAUAAUGUCUUGAAUCUCUGGCCCCACACAUCUCUAAAUGCCUUGAGCAGGGGGGAGGCUUUGGUGCCCCCUCACCCCUUUGAGAACCACCUAAGAGGACUACUCCUUCUAGAAACUUUCUCCCAUGGACGCAGUUAGACUUUCUCCCUGCUGAAUUUGGAUUAAUGAGCAAACAACCCGAGGAAGGAGGGAGAUGGGGUCCGCACGCAGGUGCCCUGGGCCCCAAGGUGAACACAUGAGUCCUCCUGCUCUCCUUCCCUUCCCCUCACAGAGACGCCUCUCUGAGCUGGGGAGUCUUGUUUGGGAUGUGGAUAGAAGGGAAGGCUGGGGAUCUGGAGCACCAAGGCACUUUUAGAGGAGCUCCUGCAGGGUGAGUGGGGGCUUUGGUUGAGUACACAGGGCUUUUGGCAGACAGGAAGUGGAAAGCGUGGCCAGCCAUCUUUGUGAUUCGGGGUAGUCUGCUGCUGGCCCUUCCCUUUCCCCAGAGCUCCAGACGGCUCUCAGGACAGUUGGUAGCAGCUCCCUACUGGCUGCACCAGGAGACCAGAGAGCCGAGCUGGCUAUGAGUCAGCCCUGUGGCCCAGCAGCGGGAUAAGGGGAUUCUCAAGCCAGCCUGGUCUGCCCAGCAGCAGGCUGGGUGUGUGGCUGCCUGGGAGCAGUGGACACUGGGUUCCAAACACCUUCCACUGGGGUCUUCAGAUGACCUCUGCCUUUAUCAGGUGACUUAUGAAUCUAGAAAGAGCCUGCUUGACUGACAAGAGAAUGCUCAGAUGACAUGCAUAGAAUAGUUACUGAAGCCACUUGUACAUUCUGAUAGCAGUGACUUUAGAAAACUCCAGAAGUGGCGGUGUAGAAAAUGUUGGAAGAGCCAUUUCCACAGUGGGCUGCUGUGCAGUCGAGACCCAUGAUCCCAGUUCACCAAGCACUGAAGACUGUGGUGAGCCUCCUGUGGGCAGCAGGUGAGGAACUUGGAUUCCUCCUGCUGUGUGUCCAGCUGUAGAGCUGUUGCAACCCUGGAGCUAAGAGUAGUAAGGACUCCCUUAAAGGGAAAGGUAAGUUGGGCUUGGCCGUGAAAGCACAACAGCUUUUACAAAAGCACUGAACUUUCCAUUCCUUCUGCUUUUCUCUGAAGAUCUUAGUGUCUUUUCAUUUACUUUCUUUUAAAAUAGUGGCCCUGGAGCAACCUGGACGGUGUUCCCUUGAGCUGGUGUGACGUGCCCUCGUUUAUUCUGACAUCCAGCCCAGUCUCAGUACUGUUGUCAUAACCUUACGCCAGACUCAGGCAGAAUGUAAGCCAUUCACUCGUGAGCAUCGCAGCCGCUUGUGCUGCCUGGAAGCUGCAGGGCCAGGACUGCAUUUUCAGUUUGCAAUUGAGGUCUCCUGAUUUUGAUGUUUCCAAGACUGGCUGCUAUACCUUGAUAAGCUUUCCUUCUGCCUCCAUGAAACCUGGUGUCUAAAAAAGAUCAACUAAAACUUGGAACCCUUUAACCAAGAGGACCUUUAAAAAUAACCUUUCAUUCCAGUCAAGACCCAGCUGGAUGCAUUUUAAAGUUGGGAGUGGCGAGGAAGCCUUCCUAGUGCCGCCCGGGGAAUGUAAAACCACCAGAGCAACAGGUUGGGACAGUAUGGUCAGGCCUUGGAGGGAAAGAGAACCAGUAUCCACACAAGACCUCGAACUUGUGUGGCCCCUCAGUUUCAUCUCUCCUGCCUGCCAUCACAUUAGACUUUAAUUGGGUGAGAGAACAGGGCAGAGACUGUCACCUGCAUUUUGCAGAUGGGAAGUAGAGACAGAGAAAGUGACACACCCAGGGUCACCCAGCGGUGACCAGCAGCGUGGACUCUGCAUCCAGGUCUCCUGGACCUUGAUGCAGUAUCUUUUGAGACAUGCCACUCUAGUCCCUUUGGUGACCCAUGGGUGCCAAGAGAAAAUAAUUCUUAUAUCCUGAUAAGAGCAUAUUACAAUUAUAUUAUUUCAAUAUGUGUCCACAGCACAGGACAGUUUACAAAAACGUGAAUCCGAAUGACAUUUAGGAAUGUUUGUUAUAAAUGAUAAGUUCCACUUUGGAAUGAUUCUGGUUUUGCAGGAAUCUUUCCAAGAAAGUUGGUUAAAAUGAUGUCUCUGCCUGUGAGGCCAGUUCUAUGGAAAACAAACACACCCUGAGUUCUUUAUUGAUGGCUUUAGUGGAGGCAGAGCAGUAUGUUCAAAACAAGUGGGAGGCCCUGAGAUCGCAGGAAUGGAAACAGAGUUCUGGCUGGGGGUGGCCUGUCCGCUGCCCGCCCCUUCCUGGAGAUGCACUCCUUUCUGGCUUUCUGGGGAGGGAGUAGCCUUGCUCAGCGGUGGGAGCAGCUUGAACGGGACCUGAUCAACACCCAGGAAGACUGUGCACAGAGGGCAGUUGGUCUCCAGCCUGCAGGCUCCAUGAGCACAGCCUUCAUGGUGGUGGGCAGGCGCCUGCCUGCUGUGGACUACAUUUGAUGCAAAACAUCAAGUAAAGGGUGGAGCGUAAUACAGUGAAUAUGCCUCCCAGAAACAUCAUGCUCUGCCUAUUUUAACAGGGCUCUUUUUCUUUAGAAAAGUCUCCUUCUCUAUAGAAACCAGGGACAAUUUUGGAUGAGAGCCAACCACAGGACGCGCUGGGGACGUUAUGGUGGGACCUCACAUGUGGCCAGGUGCACCUUUGGGAAGAAGGCAGACGUGAUGUGACUUAGCACAGGCACUCAAAAGAGGCAGCCACUGGUCUUUGCUAAUAUCCAGAAGUGGAUUGUUUGUUCCAUUCAUCCUUCUAGAAGCUAAAUUCUUUCAUUGCCUUGAGACAUCACUAGAUUUUGAAGCACUUGCAAAGUAGAAGCUUGCAAGAUCAAUGUCCAUGUAUAUUUUUAAAUGAUAUGCAUGCUUUAAAAGGACCCUAAUUUCUGAGUACAUGGCUUCCCCAAAGAAACAGUAUAUAUUCUGGAGAUGAUGGGGGUUUCGGCAUGGAGAGGGACUCCUGUCUAGUCUAGAAGUGUGUGUUACUUACAUGCCUCUUCCAUGUACCGAUCUCAAGAAUAUGGGUUUUCUAGUUUGGCUUUAAACACUACCCAGGCAGGAAGGUGGCUUUGGUAAGAAUUUUGAGCUGGAUGAAAUGUUCUAGUGAACUUACGACUGUGUGUGUGCGCACACAUGUGUGUGUGUGUGUGUGUGUAUGUGAAGAAACAGCAAAAGGGGAAGUGGGAGAAACAGUAAGGAAGCGUUUUUAAUUAAAAAUAUGUAUACCUAAGAGGAGACUUUAUUUUCUAUUUCUGGUGGUGGUGAUCUAUGUUCUGGAAUCCAUUUACCAGAAGUUUGUGGAUCUUUUGUUUGAAGUGGAAUUGUUCAGUGCCCUACUCUCUUUGACGGUGCACAGCCUUGCGGCAAAGUGUUCUCCUGGGCCCUAGAGACCUCCAGGGCACCUGGCAGGAGCCCAUAAACCACUGCAGAGUCCCAAGUGGUGCAUGUUUUGGCGAGUGAUGGGCAGGACUGAUGAUUCACAGCUGUGAGGCUGUGCUAUUGUUUUUACCCUCUUGUACUGCUUUUAAUAGGAAGUCCCGACUUUACGUCAGUUGUGAGAGCAGUGUCUUAUGAUGUGACAGGCAAGAAGACAUUCCUUGCAUCAAAUAUAAGAGUUUAAUGAGAAGAGUGGAGUGGAUAAGUGAACUCUCCCAAGAGUACUGUUUUUUGUUUCCCU